GCUUUUUUGCAUUUGCUGGAUCAUAUUGUUUCAGUAAAUUAUUUCCGCACGCGAAUCUCACAUAGCCCCUUACUAAUCGAGUAUUGUCCCAUACAAAUCUCAUGUUACCCCAUAAAAUUUCACAUUUUCUCUGACAAAUCUCAUUGAGCCCCAUGCAAAUCUCCCAAAUUGUUCCAUCUCCAUUGUUCCCAAAUUGUUUCCUCACCACUCACCAGUGAAGGAGGGAAAGAUUAGUGAAGUGAAGUUCACUCCCUUCAUUUUGUCAUUCCUUCACCGUGACGGCUUCACUCUCCUUCACUCACUCGAUCAAAGUUUUCAAAUCCCUCACUCAGCUUCACUCUCCUUCACUCCUUCAUCGUGAAGGAAGCCUCGCUUUGCGGUAAAAGAGUGAAGCUGCACAGGUAUGCAUAUGAAAACUGCUCGUAUCAUGCAUGCAUAGAGUUACCACUACUAGGCACAAGUAGUUUAACCUCCCUUUGUAAAUAAUUUGGCGCAUAUAUGUAGAAUGUAUGGUAGUACUUGAAUACACAACAGAUUUUCCAGAACAACGUCAAAUAAUUUUAACACGUAUUGGAUAAACAAUUUUUAAGCGAAUAUUUUUUACUGGUUUUUCGUUGUGAUAAGUUGUAAUACACGAUAAACGCGUUCGGGGCAACAUAGGAUGGUUGGAAAACCCGAUCGGAUAGGAUAGAGUCUGGUCGAGUUGAAAUAUGCAAUUUUUGGAGUUGGAUAAACAACUGUCAUCGGAUACCGAAUCGAAUUCGUUUUGCAGGAAACGCUCAAUACGAACAAGCAAAAAUAAGUUUGGACAUGCUCACAUACACAUUACAUGUAUCGAUAAUUUUCUUCUAAGUAUGGCCGAAAUUUCAUGUCAUUCGGUUCAACCUUUUGACUCUAUCGUGUCAGGCGGAGGACAGAACGACAUUACGGUUCCAUAAGCUCUGACUCUGGCAAAUAUCAAACGCAAUGAAACAAGGGUAAAUCAAGUAAUUCCCCCCAAAAAUUAUGCGACCACACCUCUUGGAUGCGGGGGGGGGACUGGUCUGAUUGACCCAAAAGUUUAUACUAUCCGCCUCCUGAGGUCAAACGUAUGAUUCCGCAAACAUAUCUCAAUAAUAUCAAUUCGUUCUCCCGCUAUCCUGCUUACAAACGGACAGACGAAAGGAAGGACGGACAGACGGCCAAAGCCUUAGCUUAGUAGGGCUGCACUCUAUAAUAAAUAAAUAUGUAUAUUACAAUUCAGUUGUGUUCUUCUUGAAGAGCAUGAUUCUAUUCUACGUAUAUACUUGUGAUUAAAAAUGUAAUAAACUGUUACAACGCAUGUCAUCAA